AUACGAAGGUCCCAAGCGUUGUUCGGAUUUACUGGGCGUAAAGCGUCUGUAGGCGGCGUGGUAAGUCAGAUGUGAAAUCCCGGGGCCCAACACCGGAACUGCAUCCGAUACUGCCAUGCUAGAGUAUUGGAGGGGAGUCUGGAAUUCUCGGUGUAGCAGUGAAAUGCGUAGAUAUCGAGAGGAACACUAGUGGCGAAGGCGAGACUCUGGACAAUAACUGACGCUGAGAGACGAAGGCCAGGGUAGCGAAAAGGAUUAGAAACCCUAGUAGUCC
rnacentral:rRNA from 1 species